AUACGGAGGAUGCGAGCGUUAUCCGGAUUUAUUGGGUUUAAAGGGAGCGUAGGUGGGAUAUUAAGUCAGCUGUGAAAGUUUGGGGCUCAACCUUAAAAUUGCAGUUGAUACUGGUUUCCUUGAGUACGGUACAGGUGGGCGGAAUUCGUGGUGUAGCGGUGAAAUGCUUAGAUAUCACGAAGAACUCCGAUCGCGAAGGCAGCUCACCGGGCCGGAACUGACACUGAUGCUCGAAAGUGCGGGUAUCAAACAGGAUUAGAUACCCUGGUAGUCCGCACAGUAAACGAUGAAUACUCGCUGUUUGCGAUACACGGUAAGCGGCCAAGCGAAAGCGUUAAGUAUUCCACCUGGGGAGUACGCCGGCAACGGUGAAACUCAGAUGAAUUGACGGGG
rnacentral:rRNA from 1 species